CCCGAAAGAUCGAAUGAGGAGAUUCAUCGUCAGCGGUGCAGGCUUCCAUGUGGCUCGCGAUGAUAAGAAAUUUAUUUCAAAUUCACGUGUCCGCUGUGGUAUGUGUCCGGCAACGUCGGCGUGCACUUCUCCUCUAGUAGAACGUCGCGACCCGCUGGGUGUCGGUUUAAGGACCAAGGUCGUCGACUGUUCCGUCGCGUCUCGUGCGCGUUCGGUUACAGACGCUUGGAUUCCCGACCGGCUGCCCGGCGGUAUAACCGCCAAGGUAUCGAGCCGCACUUGAAUGCGUUCUUCGGACCCGUCACAAGCUCGACCCGCUUUGAAUGUACUUUUUCCGGAUGUGCGGACCUAGCGCCGUACCCGGGGUUGGUUGGCUGUUGGUAGACGGUGUCCUCGAACUGGCUAAACCUCGUUGUUAAUUUAACGAUACCGGUCAGCGACGCUAUUGCUUUGGGUACUUUCAGGA
rnacentral:rRNA from 1 species